UACGUAGGCAGCAAGCGUUGUUCGGAGUUACUGGGCGUAAAGGGUGCGUAGGUGGCUCUAUAAGUAUGGUGUGAAAUCUCCCGGCUUAACUGGGAGGGUGCGCCGUAGACUGUGGGGCUAGAGUGUGGGAGAGGAAAGUGGAAUUCCUGGUGUAGCGGUGAAAUGCGUAGAUAUCGGGAGGAACACCUGUGGCGAAAGCGGCUCACUGGACCAUAACUGACGCUGAUGCACGAAAGCGUGGGGAGCAAACAGG
rnacentral:rRNA from 1 species